AGUGCUGUAGGCAAAUGGAUUAAGCCGCUUGACUUUCGAUCAGGUGAUUUGCGGGUAUGCGCUAAAGCGCACGCUAUGCGAACAAGUCCCGUCAGCACUACCA
rnacentral:tRNA from 1 species